rnacentral:rRNA from 1 species
CCAGACUCCUACGGGAGGCAGCAGUGAGGAAUAUUGGUCAAUGGGCGAGAGCCUGAACCAGCCAAGUAGCGUGCAGGAAGACGGCCCUAUGGGUUGUAAACUGCUUUUAUAAGGGAAUAAAGUGAGCCUCGUGAGGCUUUUUGCAUGUACCUUAUGAAUAAGGACCGGCUAAUUCCGUGC